AAUUAACUUUUGGAGGACUAAUACAAGAAACAAAUCAUGUAAAUCUUUUCCUUUUGAAAAAUGUACGAACAAAAUCAUGUAAAUCAUACAUAAACAAGAAUUUGUACAAACACCAUACAUCACAUGCAUAGAUAUAUGUUAUAAAAUACAAAUUGAAAGAUCAAGAUCAUACCUUUUUGGUCUAAGCCAGAUCAGUUACACCCGUGAUCACAAACGACAUAUAAUUCCUUUCUGUCAACUAUUA
rnacentral:lncRNA from 1 species